rnacentral:rRNA from 1 species
GACGAACGCUGGCGGCGUGCUUAACACAUGCAAGUCGAACGGAAAGGCCCUGCUUUUGUGGGGUGCUCGAGUGGCGAACGGGUGAGUAACACGUGAGUAACCUGCCCUUGACUUUGGGAUAACUUCAGGAAACUGGGGCUAAUACCGGCUAGGAGCUCCUGCUGCAUGGUGGGGGUUGGAAAGUUUCGGCGGUUGGGGAUGGACUCGCGGCGUAUCAGCUUGUUGCUGGGGUAGUGGCUUACCAAGGCUUUGACGGGUAGCCGGCCUGGGAGGGUGACCGGCCACACUGGGACUGAGAUACGGCACAGACUCCUACGGGAGGCAGCAGUGGGGAAUAUUGCACAAUGGGCGGAAGCCUGAUGCAGCAACGCAGCGUGCGGGAUGACGGCCUUCGGGUUGUAAACCGCUUUCGCCUGUGACGAAGCGUGAGUGACGGUAAUGGGUAAAGAAGCACCGGCUAACUACGUG